rnacentral:rRNA from 1 species
GAUGAACGCUGGCUACAGGCUUAACACAUGCAAGUCGAGGGGAAACGGCAUUGAGUGCUUGCACUGAAUGGACGUCGACCGGCGCACGGGUGAGUAACGCGUAUCCAACCUUCCCGUUACUGCGGGAUAACCUGCCGAAAGGCAGACUAAUACCGCAUGUUCUUCGAUGACGGCAUCAGAUUCGAAGCAAAGACUCGUCGGUAACGGAGGGGGAUGCGUCUGAUUAGCUGGUUGGCGGGGCGACGGCCCACCAAGGCGACGAUCAGUAGGGGUUCUGAGAGGAAGGUCCCCCACAUUGGAACUGAGACACGGUCCAAACUCCUACGGGAGGCAGCAGUGAGGAAUAUUGGUCAAUGGGCGGAAGCCUGGACCAGCCAAGUAGCGUGCAGGAUGAC